AUUGAACGCUGGCGGAAUGCUUUACACAUGCAAGUCGAACGGUAGAGGGGGCAACCCCUUGAGAGUGGCGAACGGGUGAGUAAUAUAUCGGAACGUGCCCAGUCGUGGGGAUAACGUAGCGAAAGUUACGCUAAUACCGCAUACGAUCUAAGGAUGAAAGCGGGGGAUCGCAAGACCUCGCGCGAUUGGAGCGGCCGAUAUCAGAUUAGGUAGUUGGUGAGGUAAAGGCUCACCAAGCCAACGAUCUGUAGCUGGUCUGAGAGGACGACCAGCCACACUGGAACUGAGACACGGUCCAGACUCCUACGGGAGGCAGCAGUGGGGAAUUUUGGACAAUGGACGCAAGUCUGAUCCAGCCAUUCCGCGUGCAGGAUGAAGGCCUU
rnacentral:rRNA from 1 species